UUUGGGCCCUACCAAUCAUUUUCGGAAAACGACACCCCUGUUGCUGUGUUUUACCCCUCUGCGUCGAGUUUAAAAAUCCGAAUGGGGUUAUUUGGGCCGCGAUCUUGAGGGACAUUAACACCAAUUAACACUGUGAGUUGUUAACUUACUCGGUUCAGUUUCGCGCCAAAUGCAGCGCCGCGCGGGCCUCAGUCGCCAUCUUUGUGCGAUCCAGGGAGGUCGUGUCUGUGCUGCGUGUGACGUCUUGUUGAAUACGGCUCAAGAUGAGCAGAAUGAAGGUAAAUCUCCAAGUCCCACAGUCAGAGCUCAAGACUGUGAGGCAGGACUUCAUUCCUUGAUGAAUGCGGCUCAACUGCUAACAGGAUAAGAAGACACGAACCAAGAGAAGUUGGACGCUUUUGAGAAUUUCCUCUCGUACCGCUAGUGUCAUGGGCGGAGGGAAGCGAGGCUGCCAUCUCCGAAGACAACACGCCUCUGAGUGUGCGCCUCCUAGUUUGUGCGGCAAUGUUCCCCGUGUUCAAUGAGAAAAUUCAAUGCCCCAGCGCCCAGAACUCCCAGCUAGUAUUGACGCAAUAGCUCUCCCAAAUGUCGACCGGAAAGUCGUUAAAAAAAUCGUUGCGACGAUCGGCUCGACAAGCUGAAGACCGCGCCAGUGAAUGCAUGUGAAACGGCACCCUCUCCCAUCGCCAGGCCCAAAGACGUGUUGUUCAUAGGUGUCUUUCUAGUGUUGCUGAUCGCGGAGGACCACUGUCCACUGCUCGUCCGCCGUGGUGUUACUUCUGAUGAGGCUCAGAGCGCAUGUGUAUUGUUUAACUGUGAACAAUCUGUUGAAAUAUAUAAUGAGUAGAUCUGUA
rnacentral:lncRNA from 1 species